rnacentral:rRNA from 1 species
GACGGAGGGUGCAAGCGUUGUUCGGAAUUACUGGGCGUAAAGGGUGCGUAGGCGGCCAUGUAAGUGAGGUGUGAAAUCCCUCGGCUCAACCGAGGAACUGCGCUUCAUACUGCAUGGCUUGAGGGAGACAGGGGUAAGCGGAACUGAUGGUGGAGCGGUGAAAUGCGUUGAUAUCAUCAGGAACACCGGUGGCGAAAGCGGCUUACUGGGUCUCUUCUGACGCUGAGGUACGAAAGCUAGGGUAGCGAACGGG